rnacentral:rRNA from 1 species
CACGUAGGGCGCAAGCGUUGUCCGGAAUGAUUGGGCGUAAAGCGUGUGUAGGCGGGUCUUUAAGUCAGGGGUGAAAUGCCAAGGCUCAACCUUGGAACUGCCUUUGAUACUGGAGAUCUUGAGUCCGGGAGAGGUGAGUGGAAUUGCGAGUGUAGAGGUGAAAUUCGUAGAUAUUCGCAAGAACACCAGUGGCGAAGGCGGCUCACUGGCCCGGAACCGACGCUGAGACGCGAAAGCGUGGGGAGCAAACAGG